rnacentral:lncRNA from 1 species
GGCCAGAAGUCAUCAGGACCUUUGAAACUAGAGCCAAAGGCAGUUGUGUGUGCCUAGUCUGAGUGCUGGGGAUGGAAACUGAGAGCAAAAAGAAAUGCAAACACAGAGUUCAAGAACCUAACUGGGAGCCUGGUUUGCCAGGAAGAGCUCAGCACGGACUGUUCCUGGGAGAGUUCACCAUGGCUGUUUCCUGCAUGCUUCUAUGUCUGUGCAGCCUCUUAGAACGGUCCAUGUAAACCGGCUCCUCGGGAGGCUUUCUGCAUCUCCCAGUCAGUGUGCGGUCUGUCCUGCUCCUGCUCCUCUGUACUCGGCA